UCCAGACUCCUACGGGAGGCAGCAGUGGGGAAUCUUCCGCAAUGGGCGCAAGCCUGACGGAGCAAUGCCGCGUGAACGAAGAAGGUCUUCGGAUUGUAAAGUUCUGUCCUUAUCGAAGAGAGGGUAUAGAGUGAAAAAUGAUAUACUAGGACGGUAGAUGAGGAGGAAGCCCCGGCUAACUACGUGCCAGCAGCCGCGGUAAUACGUAGGGAGCAAGCGUUGUUCGGAAUGACUGGGCGUAAAGGGUGCGUAGGCGGUUGUACAAGUUAGAAGUGAAAUACCCAGGGCUUAACUCGGGUGCUGCUUCUAAAACUGUAUGACUUGAGUGCAGUAGAGGUUAGUGGAAUUCCUAGUGUAGCGGUGGAAUGCGUAGAUAUUAGGAGGAACACCAGAGGCGAAGGCGGCUAACUGGACUGCAACUGACGCUGAGGCACGAAAGUGUGGGGAGCAAACAGGAUUAGAUACCCUUGUA
rnacentral:rRNA from 1 species